GCUGGAUUAGCUCAGUUGGCAGAGCGGUUGUUUCGUACACAACAGGCCAUCAGUUCGAUUCUGAUAUCCAGCUCCA
rnacentral:tRNA from 1 species